UGUAAGCGUAUACCAAAGUUGUUGCAGUUAAAACGCUCGUAGUCGGAAUUUGGCAGUUCCGGAUGUGUGCACGUCGUGUGCGCACUUCGCGGGGAUUGCUUUUGUGGUCUUGCGUAGGAUGAGGCACUUUUAUUAGUGAACGUCCUCACGCAACCACUUUUUACUGUGAGAAAAUCAGAGUGCUCAAAGCAGGCAUUUGCCGUGAAUGUAUUAGCAUGGAAUAAUAGAAUAGGACUCGGUUCUAUUUUGUUGGUUUGUUGGGACUGAGUAAUGAUUAAGACGGACAGUUGGGGGCAUUUGUAUUUCGGCGCUAGAGGUGAAAUUCUUAGAUUGCCGAAAGACAAACUGCUGCGAAAGCGUCUGCCAAGGAUGUUUUCAUUGA
rnacentral:rRNA from 1 species